rnacentral:rRNA from 1 species
GUGGGGAAUAUUGCGCAAUGGGCGAAAGCCUGACGCAGCGACGCCGCGUGAGGGAUGAAGGUUUUCGGAUCGUAAACCUCUGUCAGAAGGGAAGAAACUACGUUGUGCUAAUCAGCAGCGUACUGACGGUACCUUCAAAGGAAGCACCGGCUAACUCCGUGCCAGCAGCCGCGGUGAUACGGAGGGUGCAAGCGUUAAUCGGAAUUACUGGGCGUAAAGCGCACGUAGGCUGUAGUGUAAGUCAGGGGUGAAAUCCCACGGCUCAACCGUGGAACUGCCUUUGAUACUGCACAACUUGAAUCCGGGAGGGGGUGGCGGAAUUCCAGGUGUAGGAGUGAAAUCCGUAGAUAUCUGGAGGAACAUCAGUGGCGAAGGCGGCCACCUGGACCGGUAUUGACGCUGAGGUGCGAAAGCGUGGGGAGCAAACAGGAUUAGAAACCCGGGUAGUCC